rnacentral:misc_RNA from 1 species
AACCAUAGAAACCUGCGGAGUACCUGCGGAGGGAUCAUUACCGAGUUUACAACUCCCAAACCCCUGUGAACAUACCUAUACGUUGCCUCGGCGGAUCAGCCCGCGCCCUGUAAAAAGGGACGGCCCGCCCGAGGACCCUAAACUCUGUUUUUAGUGGAACUUCUGAGUAAAACAAACAAAUAAAUCAAAACUUUCAGCAACGGAUCU